UACGGCGGGUGCAAGCGUUAUCCGGAUUCACUGGGUUUAACGGGUGCGUAGGCGGGCCGGUAAGUCCGUGGUGAAAUCUCUGAGCUUAACUCAGAAACUGCCAUGGAUACUAUUUGUCUUGAAUAUUGUGGAGGUAAGCGGAAUAUGUCAUGUAGCGGUGAAAUGCUUAGAUAUGACAUAGAACACCAAUUGCGAAGGCAGCGUGCUACACAGUUAUUGACGCUGAGGCACGAAAGCGUGGGGAUCAAACAGG
rnacentral:rRNA from 1 species